rnacentral:rRNA from 1 species
UUAGUCUUGUAAUUUAAGACUUGAAUGAAAGAGUAAACUAAAAAAGAAGUUUUUUUAUUUAUAGUUCUAAACUUUACUUUUUAGUAAAAAGGCUAAAAUUCUUCUUUUAGACAAGAAGACCCUGUAAAAUUUUACAUGAAAUUAAUAUAGGUAUUAUAUAGAAUGUUUGGCUGGGGCGGCUAAAAAGACAACUUUAAAUCUUUUUAACUUUUAGUUUUAAUACCCAAAAUUUUUGAAAAUAAAAUAAAUUACUUCAGGGAUAACAGCGUAAUUUACUUUGAAAGUUCAUAUUGACAAGUAAGUUUGCGACCUCGAUGUUGGAUUAAGAAGCCUUCCCGCGCAAGAGC